AUUGAACGCUGGCGGCAGGCCUAACACAUGCAAGUCGAACGAGUGGCGGACGGGUGAUUAAUGUCUCGGAAACUGCCUGCUGGCGUGGGAUAACUAAUCGAAACGCUAGCUAUUUCCUCCUACCAGCGGAUGUGCCCAGAUCGGAUUAGCUAGUAAGUGGGGUAAAGGCUCACCUAGGCUACGAUCCCUAGAUGGUCUGAGAGGAUGACCAGCCGUACUGGAACUGAGGCACCGGCCAGACGCCUACGUGAGGCAGCAGUGGGGAAUGUUGCCGAAUUGGCACAAGCGUGAUGCUGCCAUGCCGCGUGUAUAGAGAAGGCCUUCGAGUUGUAAAGUACGUUCAGCGGAGAGGCGUUAGCCGAAGAAGAAGCACCGGCUAACUCCGUGCCAGCAGCCGCGGUAAUAC
rnacentral:rRNA from 1 species